UUCCGGUUGAUCCUGCCGGACCUGACUGCUAUCGGAUUGAUACUAAGCCAUGCGAGUCAUUGUAGCAAUACAAGGCAGACGGCUCAGUAACGCGUAGUCAACCUAACCUAUGGACGGGAAUAACCUCGGGAAACUGAGAAUAAUGCCCGAUAGAACACUAUACCUGGAAUGGUUUGUGUUCCAAAUGAUUUAUCGCCGUAGGAUGGGACUGCGGCCUAUCAGUUUGUUGGUGAGGUAAUGGCCCACCAAGACUAUUACAGGUACGGGCUCUGAGAGGAGUAGCCCGGAGAUGGGUACUGAGACACGGACCCAGGCCCUAUGGGGCGCAGCAGGCGAGAAAACUUUGCAAUGUGCGAAAGCACGACAAGGUUAAUCCGAGUGAUUUGUGCUAAACGAAUCUUUUGUUAGUCCUAGAAACACUAACGAAUAAGGGGUGGGCAAGUUCUGGUGUCAGCCGCCGCGGUAAAACCAGCACCUCAAGUGGUCAGGAUGAUUAUUGGGCCUAAAGCAUCCGUAGCCGGCUCUGUAAGUUUUCGGUUAAAUCUGUACGCUUAACGUACAGGCUGCCGGGAAUACUGCAGAGCUAGGGAGUGGGAGAGGUAGACGGUACUCGGUAGGAAGGGGUAAAAUCCUUUGAUCUAUUGAUGACCACCUGUGGCGAAGGCGGUCUACCAGAACACGUCCGACGGUGAGGGAUGAAAGCUGGGGGAGCAAACCGGAUUAGAUACCCGGGUAGUCCCAGCUGUAAACUAUGCAAACUCAGUGAUGCAUUGACUUGUGGUCAAUGCAGUGCUGCAGGGAAGCCGUUAAGUUUGUCGCCUGGGAAGUACGUACGCAAGUAUGAAACUUAAAGGAAUUGGCGGGGGAGCACCACAAGGGUGAAGCCUGCGGUUCAUUGGAUUCAACGCCGG
rnacentral:rRNA from 1 species